GACGUAGGGGGCCAGCGUUGUUCGGAAUUACUGGGUGUAAAGGGUUCGUAGGCGGUGCGGCAAGUUGGGAGUGAAAUCUCUGGGCUUAACCCAGAGGCUGCUUCCAAAACUGCUGUGCUUGAGUGUGGGAGAGGCGCGUGGAAUUGCAGGUGUAGCGGUGAAAUGCGUAGAUAUCUGCAGGAACACCGGUGGCGAAGGCGGCUUUCUGGACGAUUACUGACGCUGAGACGCGAAAGCGUGGGGAGCAAACAGG
rnacentral:rRNA from 1 species